AUGUUCAGAGACCGAAUUACACAACAGCUUCGCCAUUUUGAUUCUUGUAUAUUUUCGCACUGAGAGUUCAUUCUGUUUGACGUUGCCAAGUUCACGUAGAUACUACGUGAUAAAACAUAGUAUGCAUGUGAUUUUCACGUAGAUGUUAUGUUUGUCACAUAAAUCAUGAAAACUGACAGAAAAUGAAUAAGUACAGGAAAUUUCACGUAACAAUAACGUGAAAAAUAUUUUGAGUGCAGGAAUAACAGCAAAUAAAUUUAUCAGUGUACUUUUACACCCUGUACUCUACAUCGAAUUAAUUGUCAAAAUGGACUUUCGUUCUUUCAUCAACACAAACAGAAUACAUAAAUCAAAACGUUUUUCUAGUCAGCAGUUUUAUAGUUUAUAGUAUUUCCAAAUAAAGAACCUGCCAGCUUCAAACGAGAUACGUUGUUUGCGAUCAACGAUUCGGAUAACACCACAAUGCUGGUUAGUAAGUAUCAAAUUUCAUCUAAUUAGCAAAAUCUGUUUCCUCCUAGAUCCAGUUUGAAGAAUCUGAUGAAAACUCAGAGAAAGAUGGAAACCAGCUGCGCUACUGCGACUGAACAAAAUUUUCCCAGAAAAAAGUCUUGAGAAGUGUGAAAGACUUGCAACCAGAGAAAGCAAAGCAGGCACGGCCAGCAGCUGUUUUAUCUUCGACGGACGAGCCGCCAGUCACUUAUAUGCAACGCAAUCAAGUUCGCAAAAAUACGGCAAAAUUUACUAUUAAGAAUGUGGGCACAUCUGGAGCGGUGUCUUCAUCGGUAAAAUCUUUAGUAACCAAGCUAGAUCUGGAAUCGCAAAAGGUCAUUCUAAUAAGUUGAUGCAAAGUAGUAAGUUGUUUAUUAACUUUUUAGGUCGUUCACCAGAAGUUCAUUUUGAUGUUACCAAUGGCUAGUUUCUUCCAGACUUAUUUAAUAAAUUAGUAGUUUUUUUUUUUAUUCCUUCAA